rnacentral:lncRNA from 1 species
AGGAACAUGUCCGACAUGAUGCUCCCGGACGCACGGAUACCCAACCCGGGCCCUACCGUGCUCUUUUCGGCGCGAGGACGCAGACUCACCCCGAAGGCAAAGGGCCACGCUUGGUCUCUGUCCGCAGGCCCGGGGCUGGGGGUUUCGCGACACCCCCACCCCAGGCAAUCGCGGGCCGCGGAGCCGGAGCCGGGGAGCACAGCGUGGAGAGGGCGCGCAGCCCGGGGACCUCUGUGGCGAUCAGCCAGCGCGGCCCAAAGCAGCGAGAGCAGGAGGGAGGGACCGAGGGCGCCCGCAGGAGGCACCGCCCACCUGCCCACCCUGCGCCCUACGCCACCAGGCGGGGACCCGGACCCUGGGGCGGAGCAGGCUGGAGGGCCUGGCCCUGCAACGCAGUGCAGGGUCCCGGACCUCCUACUCUGAGGCUGGGGAAUGGCUGUCUACUGGGGCACUUGAGGGAUAAUGGGAGCUGGGAGUCCCUGUUCGGCGACCUCACCUGGCUGUAAACUCACCUUCUUGUGCGCGCAGGCCGCCGCUCCUGCGGCUCCAGGCAGCCAAGCCCAAUGAUGGGCGGAGGAGGGAAGGAGGAAGGAAGGGAAGUUUUCCCAGCCUCUCAGCUCACGCUUUCGGUCAGCUUCCCACUCUCUGGUGUCCCGGACGCCCUCCGGAUCGCCACUUCGAGCCCUAGUCUAGCUCGGGAGUGUUCCCGUAAGGGGCGCGUUCCCAGCUUGGCAGAAAACUUUCCAGCGAAUCACAGGCUGGCUUCUCCCUCCGCCUGGAGCCGGGGAGGGUGAUCUGAACUGAGUGGCGCCUCACCUGGCUGGAAGUUUGCCUGGGAACCCCACGACUCCAGGCACAGAUCUAUGUGCCCUGCCAGCUCUGAAUCUCGACCUGGGUGGCUUCGUGGGUGCGCAGCCAGCUCUUUGAAGUUCAAGGCUUGAGAAGUCCCUGGGCAGCCGGGUGUCAGAGGAUUCGGCUGGGGUUAAAAGGCGCCUCCUACUGGUGUGUGUGUGUGUGUGUGUGUGUGUGUGUGUGUGUGAGAGAGAGAGAGAGAGAGAGAGAGAGAGAGAGAGAGAGAGAGAGAGAUUGAAAGUCCGCUUUCUGGAUAAACCGCACAGCUUGGCUGCAGCCAAGUUCACUUGGAAUUCCUGGGUACAUACUUCCCGAGCUGUAUACUUCCGGAGUCCAAUCACACUCUAUACACUGCUACUUCUUAUUUGCACUGAUAGAAAGGGAUUAAUUGGGAAAUGGCUUGUGAUUUGGGAAGUGAAAAGGGCAUUUUUGGAAACAGGUUCGGAGCGCAAGAGUAACUGCUAACAUUUCACGUCCUUACUCUGAACCCGGCCUGGGUGACCCCACCCCCGCCCCGCCCCGCCUCGCCUCCUGAACAUUCUCCCUCAACCUCUCCACCCGGCACAGCCCGGGCCUAUAGUUUGCAUUUCACCCUGACAGACUCGAGGCAGGUCAUUCAGAGAGUCCCAGAGGUGGAAGCAAGGAAUACUGGUACUUUUCCAUGCCGGGAUUCAGCUCUAGACCUGCCCCUACACCGCAUCUAAUCUAGCUGGGCAGGUCUGUCUCUUCCAAGCGGGGAGAGACCAAGGACUUAACAGCCAAAGCUGAGCUGAGAGGAAAACUAAAAGAGUCGCAUCGCACACUGUCCAACCUUCUGCCUUAAUGUGUUUCUUUUUUCUUACCUCUUCCCACCCAGGAGCUGCCUGCCUCCUUAUCCCACCACGCUGCUACCUCACCAGGACCGGAGGCAUGUGUCCUUAGGGGAAACGAUCCAAAGAUGCGAAUCUCAAACAGUGACUUCUAUUACCUAUUGUGCUGUCUAGUUUUAUGGGAGGCCUCAAAAAUGAGAAGAUUCUAUUCUUGGAUCUGCCAGCACUGGGGCUGUCUCUGCAGCCCUGGCUCAGAAUACCCACACCUAGAAUUUCCAAGAGCUGGCAGGAUAAUGGGCGCCCAAAGCUGUUCACAUCUCAAGUCUCCGGAACCCAGGACCUUAGGUGGUAGACUGCAGGUAUGAUCAAGCUGUGAAUCUGGAGAUCAGGGUCACCCAAAGAGGUCACAGGGGCUUUUGUCAGAGGAAGGUAGGAGGGUCGGUCGUAUCUGAGAUGUUGCAGGGGAAGAAGGGGUCAGAGAAAGCUUCUGAAAGGGAUCCUGUGACAGCCAAGGGAUGUUAGCGGCCUAGAAAAGCUGGAAAUGAUAGGAAUAGAUUAUGUGGUAGAAAGCCCAGAAGGGACUUCCCACCUGCUAAGGGUCCUCACACUUGUUACUGAUUUUAGCCUGGGAGAAGCUGCUACCUGACCUCCAAAACUGUAACCUUGUUUCUCUAAGCCCUGCAGCAGUUCCUGGCAAUUUGUUACAGUAGCCACGGGGAAUGGAUACAUCUAGCCUCUCAGCUGUAUAGGCCAAUGCUGAUUUCACCAGCCCUUCUGCUGACAGUCCACUGGAAAGCUCUUCUCUCAAGAGACACCAGGAUAUAGCUUGAUUCACGGAUUUAGAAAGAGGAUAAGAUUUCAUCAGAUCUGUCUUUAUUGUUUUUUUUUUUUUUUUGGCUUCUCUGCCAUUUUGAACUGUGUGACCUUGGGAAAAUGUCUUAUUCUCUCUGGGCCUCAGUUUCUUUCUUUAAAUGUAAAAACAGUGAUGCUGGCUAGGUACACAGGAGGCAGAUGCCUAUGGCCCCAGAUACUUCAGAUGCUGAGGCAGGAGGAUGGCACAUUUGAGGUCACCUUGGCAACCUUCUUUUGUUAUCAGUGAGUGUCGAAACGUGGGCCUCAUGUAUGGGAACUGAGUACUUUUCCAUUACACUGCAUCUCCAGACCUAGCUUGAGUAACUUAAUGAAACUCUCUCCAAAAACAACAAACUAAUUAAGUUAAAUAAGUCUUAAAAUAGGGUCUGAAGAUGUAGCUCAGUGGUAGAGUGUUUGCCCUACCUGCGUUUCUUCCCAGCAGGGCAUAAGCCUCAGUGGGGUGGCACACUCUUGAAAUCCUAGCACUAAGGAGGUGGAGGCAGGAGGAUCAGAACUGCAAGUCAUCCUUGUGUAUACAGCUAAAUUUGAGGCCAGCCUGGGCUACGUGUAAUACCCUGUCUCGUAUUGACGAUUACAAUAAUGAAAUGCGUAGCCUACGUGUGGCCCCGGGUCCCAUCCUCAGCACAUCGAGAAGAAGACAGAAUAAAAAUAGUGAUGCUAAGAAUACUCUCCUUUGCAGGAUCAAUAUGAGUAUCAGAGGCAGCAGCAGGAUGCGAUGCUCUGUGUGAGCCCCCAUGACAUCUGAACUGCAGUUGCUGAGACCUGAACUGCCCACUCGGGAACACAGGACUCUUUAGAGCGGGCUUGUCUGAUGGACCAUUCUUGAACUCUGGACACGUGAUGCUUGAAAAUGAGUGUCUAGCGGGGCUUGGUGAUGCACGCAGGUAACCCCAGUGCCUUUGGGAACUGAGGCAGGGGGAUCAGAAGAUCAGGGUCACCCUUUUUGAGGAUAACUUUGUGUGGUACACACACCAAAAAUCAAAAACUAAAAAAAAAAAAAAAAAAACCCAACCCCCAAAACCUCACUA